UUACAAGAUAUUGCAUAUAGUUCCCUGUGCUCUGUGGUAGGUCCUUGUUGUUUAUCUAUUUUGUAUAUAAUUGUGUAUAUCUCUUCAUCCCAGAUUCCGCAUUUAUCCCCCUCUUUUUGGUAACUAUUGUUUGUCUUCUGUGAGUCCGUUGCCAUUUUGUAAAUGAGUUCAUUUGUAUCAUUAUUUUACAUGUAAGUGUUAUCACAUGAUCUGCAUCUUUCUGUCUGAUUUAUUUCAUGUAAUAUGAUAAUUUCUAGGUCCUUCUGAGUUCCUGAGACCACCCUCGGUUUUGAUAAAUUACUGGAAGAAUUUAUAGACUUUACUGAAAGCUACUACGAUUAUAGUUUAUUACAGUGACAGAAAUCAGCCAAGGGAAGAAACACAUGGAGCAGAAAGUUCCAGAAGGGAUGCUUCUGGCUGUCCUCUCCCAGGGGAUCCAGGGACAGCACCAACUUUUCCUGGCAACAACACGUGACAAAACACAUGGAAUAUUGUCAACCAAGGAAGUUCAUUUGAGCCUUAGCUUGCAGAAUUUUCUUUUAGGCUCAGUCAUGUUAGCCACAGUGGAUCACCUGCUUGGCUGACCUUUCAUCUCCAGCCCUUCUGGAAGCUGAGCUGAUACUAUGUGGCCAAAACCCCCACCAUAAAUCACAUUGUUAGACUAUCCAGUGUGGUCCAAGGCCUCGGGUAAACUCUUAUUGGGUAGGACAUUCUAAAAUUUAGCCAUACAACACUUGAGCUGAGGACAAAGGCCAGACCUGUCUUUGGGUAAGGUUAAUUCUUUACUACACAGGCUCCACUCUGGAAACUACCUUGGACAGGCAGGCCUGGAGGCGGGACAGAGACCAUGUCUGUCAUGUUCCUUGUCAUAGCCCAGUGCCUGGCACAUGGUAAGCAGGCAGUAAAUGCUUUUUGGAUCAUUGAAGGAUGCUGUGACACAGAGCAGACCCUGGUUAAUUUCGUCAGGAGCCAAUCAGGGAAAGCCUUCUGGAGGAGGGGAUGCCUAAAGAAGAAUAGAAGAAGCUUGCUGGAUAUUCCAGGCAGAAUGUGCAAAGGCCCAGAGAGAUGUCAUGUGGAAGACCCUGUAAACACUGGGAUACAAGAGCAAAUAAGAUGGGACCCCUGGAGGUGUAUGACACACGCACCUGCAAUUAAGAACUUAUCAAGUCAUAUGGUAAGUCCUACACUGACUCUGUGAAGAAUGCAGCUCUUGGGCAAAGAAGUACUGGAUCUAGUGUUAAGACUGAAUUUAAAUCUGCUAAUUAGGAAUUGGCACUUGCCAUCACCUCUGCAACGAUGACAUCGCUAACCAAAGCAGUUACGGACUUUCAACACACCCUGAAAGGACUUGGGGUGGAGACCAGGAGCACUGCACGCUGAGAAAAACUGGCAGAACAAGCCUUCAGAUAGUUAUAUAUUUUCAGAAGAUUUUAUAAGCCCAAAUUCUUGCGUCUUCGCAUAUCUUGAAGAGCAUUAAAAUCAUUAAGAAAGACAUCUGCUCUUCAUGACUAGAAGAAAUGUCUGCCAAAAUGUGGGCUUGAUUGCCUGUAUCCCCCUUCACCAAAAUCACAGAUAUAUUGACCACAUCCCGACCUCUUUGGAGCAGUUCCUCUGAGCUACUUGGGAGAUGCUGCUCCUGGGCUCUAGUCCUCAUUUUGCCCCAAAUAAAACUUC